UACGUAGGGUGCAAGCGUUAAUCGGAAUUACUGGGCGUAAAGCGUGCGCAGGCGGUUGUGCAAGACCGAUGUGAAAUCCCCGGGCUCAACCUGGGAACUGCAUCUGUGACUGCAUCGCUGGAGUGCGGCAGAGGGGGAUGGAAUUCCGCGUGUAGCAGUGAAAUGCGUAGAUAUGCGGAGGAACACCGAUGGCGAAGGCAAUCCCCUGGGCCUGCACUGACGCUCAUGCACGAAAGCGUGGGGAGCAAACAGG
rnacentral:rRNA from 1 species